UUACAUUAAAUACAGUCUCUGACAAGAGUUUAUUAACACUGCACGGUAGUCAACAUCUUUUAGUGAUGCUGAAAGUCGUCCUACACAAUAACCCUCCCCUCUUUCGUCUCCCUCACACCAGCCACAAAGGCUUUCAAAGAGAGAGAGAGAAUCCGAAGCAGGCGCCUCUGACAGGGGGGCUCAUCUCCGGAAGCGUGAGCUCAUGACCCAAGCCGCAACUAAGAGUCGGACGCUUAACCGACUGAGCCACCCAGGUGCCCCACGUGCACAUAUUUUGAAAUGUCUUCUGGUGAACCCGAUUAUCUGUCGGCGUGGCUUAGAGAAUUCACAGACGUCACUGGCAGUCACAAGGUCACCGCCCUGGGCUCUCUGUUGUCCCAGACGUGGUGUCUGUUGGGUGGUGCUGUGCAAAGUCAAGAGCACCGGCUUUAGAUUGUUGAGUGUGGGUCCCGAGAACUGCAAAGAGCCUGGGAUUUUACUCUUCCAGCCAGCUCAUGAGUUGGCUCGCCACAAUUUCGUGGAUGCUGAUAAAAGACGGAAGAGUCCAAGCCAGCAGCCAGAAUGCCAGCGUCUCUUUACACUGGUUACAGAAGCCCCAGUAAAGCACAGGAAUUGUGAAGAGGGUAGGGCAACAUGUACACAUGGAGUAGGUUGCCUCAUAGGAGAGGAAAUUUCAGCUCAGGGAACCCAAAUAUUUUAUAAUGGGCAGUAAGCAGCACUUUGCUCUUGAGGGAGACAUUGUAUCUAUCUUCUGUAGCUGUUCAUUACACGGAUGCCUUGGAUAUCUUGCAGACUUAGAAAAAUUAGACUUUGCAUUUCUAAGACAGGAAAUCCAGGACCCCAGUUCAAAAGGGAUUAUAGCUUAAGGCAUCACUAUCAUC